UACGAGGGGGGGCGAGCGUUGUUCGGAAUUAUUGGGCGUAAAGGGUGCGUAGGCGGUUUGAUAAGUCUGAUGUGAAAGCCCACGGCUCAACCGUGGAGGGUCAUUGGAAACUGGGGGGACUUGAGUGCAGAAGAGGAAAGCGGAAUUCCACGUGUAGCGGUGAAAUGCGUAGAGAUGUGGAGGAACACCAGUGGCGAAGGCGCUUUCUGGUCUGUAACUGACGCUGAGGCGCGAAAGCGUGGGGAGCAAACAGG
rnacentral:rRNA from 1 species